rnacentral:rRNA from 1 species
UACGAACUGUGCAAACGUUAUUCGGAAUCACUGGGCUUAAAGGGUGCGUAGGCGGCUUGUUAAGUAGGGUGUGAAAUCCCCCGGCUCAACCGGGGAAUUGCGCCCUAAACUGGCGAGCUGGAGUGAGAUAGGGGUGUGUGGAACUUCCAGUGGAGCGGUGAAAUGUGUUGAUAUUGGAAGGAACGCCAGUGGCGAAAGCGACACACUGGGUCUCAACUGACGCUGAGGCACGAAAGCCAGGGGAGCAGACGGG